rnacentral:tRNA from 1 species
GCGGCAACGCCCCCGGCGCGAGUCCCGAGCGGACUUUUAAUCCGCGGGUCGUGGGUUCGAGCCCCACGGGGCCCA